rnacentral:rRNA from 1 species
AGAGUUUGAUCCUGGCUCAGAAUCAACGCUGGCGGCGUGCCUAACACAUGCAAGUCGAGCGAGAAAGGGUAGCAAUAUCCGAGUACAGCGGCGCACGGGUGAGUAACACGUGGAUAACCUGCCUCGAAGUGGGGGAUAACACCGGGAAACCGGUGCUAAUACCGCAUAAUCUGACGAGAUCUGCGGAUUUUGUCAGCAAAGGAGCAAUUCGCUUUGAGAGGGGUCCGCGGCUGAUUAGCUAGUUGGUGAGGUAAUGGCUCACCAAGGCAACGAUCAGUAGCCGGUCUGAGAGGACGGUCGGCCACACUGGAACUGAGACACGGUCCAGACUCCUACGGGAGGCAGCAGUGGGGAAUUUUUGGCAAUGGGCGAAAGCCUGACCAAGCAACGCCGCGUGGAUGAUGAAGUAUCUCGGUACGUAAAAUCCUUUCGACGGGGACGAAGCCGCAAGGUGACGGUACCCGAGAGAG